rnacentral:rRNA from 1 species
UACGUAGGGGGCAAGCGUUGUCCGGAAUCAUUGGGCGUAAAGCGCGUGUAGGCGGCCAGAAAAGUCCGCUGUGAAAACUCGAGGCUCAACUUCGAGCUGUCGGUGGAAACUUUCUGGCUAGAGUCCGGAAGAGGAGAAUGGAAUUCCUGGUGUAGCGGUGAAAUGCGCAGAUAUCAGGAAGAACACCCGUGGCGAAGGCGGUUCUCUGGGACGGUACUGACGCUGAGACGCGAAAGCGUGGGAGGCGAACAGG